CCGCCUCCCUCCCCCGCCCCGCCGAACGCUGGCGCCGCCACGACCACCCUCCCCGACGCACCGUCGCCACGCCCCUCUCCCCAGCGCGCCGCCGCUACACCCCCCUCCCCCAGCGUGCCGCCGCCACGACCUCCCUCCCCAGCGCGCGCCGUCCGGCCCUCUUCCCCAGUGUCGACCGAAUCACCUCCCUCCACACCAACCGUCGUCGACGGAGCUCGCCCCCGUCCUCCUUCUCGAGCGGAACCACGGCCUCGCCUCGCUCGCAUCCGCCAGCAGUCCUACUUCUCCAUGACGAUGAGGACAACGUAGUCGUGCGUGUUCAGUCAUGCCGUGCCCGCCCUCCUUUCUGUCUCCUUCUGAGACGAGGAGCAGCAGCUGCUGGCGGCACUACCGCACCCCUUCUGUCCCUUUCUCAGAUAUUCCUGCAGCGAAACAAAAAUGCUGUUCAAGUGGUCUCCUGCUCCAGUUCACUAGUUGGAUAGAUUGAUGGUUCAAUUUGCCCACGCCCGUGCACCCCGAGCUAACGCCAUCUUCAGCAAACUCUUCCACCAAGCAUGUAAGCUCGACUUUGGUCCGGCUGCGCCUGUUACGACCACCUCUUCCUUGCUCCCCUUCUUGCCAAGAUCUGCUGCAGGUUCGAAUGCCUUCAGUUCAGUGCAAUCUCUCCCAUCACUGAAAGUUUUAUGCCUUAUGCCCUGUUGCUGCACCGCCCCGGCCGUUCACAGCCGCCACCUCGGGCCGUUCUACAACAUAGCGCUAAGCCGUUCUACGCCGCAGCUCGAGAGGUGAAGGAGCUCCCCUUGGGUAAUUAAAUGUUGGACUGGGUUCACCUUAGUGUUGGACUUAUCAGUUGUGACCUACUUUGGUUCUGAGAAAGAGCUGCUCGAAUGCAUGUCACAUGUUUUUGCUUGAGCUGGCCUUAACUUCUAGUUCUGUUUGCACUCUAUGAUGGCAACGUGUUCUAGUGCAAGUCUAGUAAUAUAUCGUCUUUAUUUUGGCUCUACAAUGGUUGCAAACUAGAAAUGUUCUCCACCUCAAACGUACUUCAUUCUUCCAUUUUUUUAUAGCUAUUUUAUUUUGUUCCUAGUUCACUCGCAAACUGCGAUAGCGGCCACCACUAAGGGCAUUUGCUUCCAGCACAGGAGCUACAUGCUCGACGGUUGCGCACUGCCGCCAUGGACAUGCACAAAGAUAUUAAGUACAAGUAUGUUAGUUCAGUUUUUUACUAUUGAUUUACCUUGUUUAAGUAGUAGUGCAGCAAUAAAAGGUGUAGUUGUACUGACAUUUUUGUUGCUAUAUGGGGAACCCGGGGGCCAUUUAUUUUGGUUUUCAGUUCCAACUUUUCUGUUCUUUUCAAUCCGUAUGCUUUAUUGUGCAAUCUUGAGGAAAUCCCCAAAAAUCAUGUGUGCACUCAAGGUAGUUAAGUGCCUUUGUAAAAUUUUGACAGUCCAUCUCAGACUAAGCAAACAGUACAUGUUAGUCUUGGUUUGUGGUUAGACAUGCAAACAGUACAUGGGUGUACUGUCGCUCUUGCUUAUUAAGGCCUGCAUCGAUAGUUAAUCUUGAACUGGAUGUGUUAUUCUAUGUUAGGUGAAUGAAGCCUCGGGGCCAGCAGCCACCUGCGCUACAGAAUACAAGUGUUUGCAGUUUGCUCACCAGAAUGUUGAAUGAGACUACAUCAUUAUUACUCAAAAAAUUCAUUUUGUAUUUGUUCAGAAUUGUUCUCUGUAUCUGUGGCAAAGAAUGAUUUUUUUCUGGUUUAAUGCAAUCCUCCUGUGGAAGCACUAAAGUGCACUACCUGUUGAACUGAUACUGAAGACAAGGAGCAGGACCAAGUGUGCUGGAAGUUUUUUUGUACCCAUGUGCGGAAGCACUUUAUUUUUCUGAUAAUUAUUAUUGUGUUCAUGUGGGUGCUUGAAAAGUUCUAUUCAAUAAUAGGCUGAUGAUUUUUGUGCA